rnacentral:lncRNA from 1 species
GCAGUGCUGGGCCCAAGGUCUGCGGCCCUGGGCAGCUCAAGCAGUGGGAAGCAGCCAAAGAGGGAGUGACAGCUGUGUCAACACCCAGUCCCAUUGCGUGUACUCAUUAAGGAAAAGGCAUGCAAAUGAAAAGCUUCUCUACCAGAAAGUUCAGUCAUUUGGGUACGGCACUCCAACGAGAUAUCUGGAUGACACUGCCUUCGUAAGGAGGAUGUCAGAUGCAGAGACAGUGAAGGAAUGGGAUACAACAUCAGAAGGGAACCCAGAUAAACUUCAGAAUUGUCUCAAUGUCCCUCUGCUGCCACUGAUUCUGUGCUGUUGGACCACACACGGACAGCGCAUCCUCAGGUUCAUCAGUGAGCCAAAAUAAAUUCUCAUCAUCUCACUGGAUGUCUUCACAUUCAGGACUUGAUAGAAGCUGUGACUUCCUACAGAAUAAGGAUAAAGAAUAUUGAGAAGGCAGAGAGCAGGCUGGAGAACACAGUGCAACCAGAGGCGACUGCUCAGGAACCACCAGCUGAGAAUGAAAUUGCAGUGUGGGUAUUGCCACUGCUUCUUCUUUGCAUUAAUGCGAGGAGUAAGAUUGAGGGUGACCAUGCAUUUUAUUUAAUGAUGAGAGAAACUGCCACUGUCUAUGGGAAUAAAAAGACAUAAUGUGUAGCUGGAGUAUCA